rnacentral:lncRNA from 1 species
CAGCGCUGCUGUCCUUUGUGGGUUUUUGUUUGUCUGUCUUUUUUGGGAGGGGGUGGUAGGGUUGUUUUUUUAAUGAAAGAUUAUUACUUCUUUAGUGCCACUGAUGCCUGUAUUUGCUUGUAUUUAUACAGCUAAUAUCCUAUUUGAUUGCGAACUGAGUGGGACAUUAUGAACAAAAAAACCCCCAACCUAUAGUGUUUCUUCUCUGUAUAUGCUUGAUGCACAGUGUGUACUCCCUCUACCAUCUUUCCAUGCAAAAUUCAACCUGGAUUUUUCCCACCAAGCUGUUACCUACUAGUUUUGUUUUAACAAAGGGAACUUGCAAGAUGAAAGCCUUCAGAACUAACAACAUAGUUUUCCAGCUUGUGUGGAGAAUACCAUAUUUCCUGUGCCAGUUUUCUGUGAGAAAGUUGUCUUGGAGGGAAGCGAGCCCAGAAAAAAACAUUUCUCCCUUUUUCUGACAUCAAAGUGGGAAAAGUACACAGAUUGCAGUGAGAUUCCUUCAUUAGGUAUUGGCAAUCUACUGUAAAUGCCCAUUCUCUCUAUGUUUUCCUUCACUCUUCUAUCUUUUGGAUUGUUACAGAAUAUAGCACUUUCAGAUAGAACACAGAAAAUCUUUUGUGGAAGAUGUUCCCCAUACUUGCCAAGAUUUUGUUUCCCUCUACCAACCCAGAGUUUCAUGUAGACGCUUGAGUGAAACCCCUUCCUUCCCUCUGCUGUACUAUAUCUCUAUGGACGCUACACUGUGUUAGGUUCAGCAAAGAGGCUGGAGCAGCACAACUUUACUCCUAUUGCAGGUGAGUCUUCAAAUUCCAUCAUAUUCUUUUAAGUUUAGAAAUCCCCACCCCAGCCCCUCCCUUUUCAUCCUUAUUUCUGGCUUGCUAGCUAUGGUGCUAUCAAUGCUUCUUUAGGGCUUACGAGAGUAAUUUGGUAUUUACUUGGUGAGUGGGUCUGCAGUCAAAAUACUCAAUUCGCUUUGUUCCCCACUUUCAGAGAAGGGCUUUAGUUGAUAACUCUUUUGUGUAGCAACAUCCCCAACCCCAUUUACUGAAAAAAAAAAAAUAAAAAA